UAGAGGUGUUCAUGGUAGAGUACUGCACUUGGUACUGGGUCAUGAGGUAAUGGAGCGCUGUCGUAAUAAGAUACGCAUACGAGUGGCAAAUAUAAUGAUGGCACUUACAGUUGUGGGUUGCUGUAUAAUGGUAUACAGUGGAAAACAAGCUGCAAAAAGUGGAGAUUCAGUAGUGAAACAAAAUCUGGAUUGGCACAAAAAAUAUAAUGAAGAAUCAAAAAAAGCUUAGGCGCUUUGUGAAAAUUAUGAAAAUUUGUAAAGUAUGUAAUUCAUUUGAUGGAAAAGAUUUAAUAAUAAAAAUUUCUCAUCAUAAGUCA